GAUGAACGCUAGCUACAGGCUUAACACAUGCAAGUCGAGCGACCGGCGCACGGGUGAGUAACACGUAUCCAACCUGCCCUUUACUCGGGGAUAGCCUUUCGAAAGUAAGAUUACUACCCGAACAUAAGGAUGGGGAUGCGUUCCUUUAGGUUGUUGGUGAGGUAACGGCUCACCAAGCCUUCGAUGGAGAGGGGUUCGGAGUGGAAGGUCCCCCACAGUGGAACUGGGACACGUUCCAAACUCAUACGGGAGGCAGCAGUGAGGAAUAUUGGUCAAUGGGCGCUAGCCUGAACCAGCCAAGUAGCGUGAAGGAUGAAUGCUUAUGGGUCAUAAACUUCUUUUAUAUAAGAAUAUGUAUUAUAUGAAUAAGGAUCGGCUAACUCCGUGCCAGCCGCCGCGGUAAUUC
rnacentral:rRNA from 1 species